GAGGCAGGGCUCGAGUCCUGCAGGAACUUGUGGGAACGGCGUUCCUGCACUUUUUCCACAGCAGGGACGCCGUUCCUGUUGGUAGUCCUGCAGGACCUGCCCUUGUGCCGAGGCCAAGGAUCUCCCCUGCCGUCCCAUGGAGAGCCGACACUGCGCAGUUGCUUUGGGCCCUUCGUCCGUGACAGGGAGGGAGGAGGGAGCUGGGAGAAGUACAGACAGCCUGCAGGCUAAAGAGCACUGCUUACCACCGGACCACCAGGGUUUGCAGUGUGUCCCCCUCCCUGAAUAUAGGUAAGAAGAAUGGGGAGAAACAAAUCUUUUACGAAUGGUUUUUUUUUUUUUUUAAUUAAAAUAAUAAAUAUACAUAUGCUGUCUUAACCUUAUGCACCCCUCACACAAACACAGCACCCCUCCCACACACACAGCACCCCUCACAAACACACACUCUGCACCCCUCUCACACACAGAAGCCCCCCACACACACUCUGCACCCCUUACACACACUGCACCCCUCACACACUUUGCGCCCCCACACACAGCACCUCUAACACACUCUGCACCCCUCACACACACCAUCCCUCACACUCACCACCCCUACACACAUACACUGCACCCCUCACUAAAGUCUGUGUGUGUGUAGUCAGCAGUUGGUGUGUGCUGAGUAUACACACAGACUGCUGAGUAAACACACACGGACUGCUGAAUACACAGACAGACUGCUGAAUACACAAUCUGUGUAUUCAGCAGUCUCUGUGUGUGUAUUCAGCAGUCUGUCGAUAAUUUACAAUUUUAUUCCUGUGAAUUGUGGUGUAGGUAGGGGCUCCAGUGCACUAUAAUGCCGUUAAGAUGGCACUGGUCAUCAUUUGAGUUUAUCAACUUCCUACAAGUGCGCAGAGGAGACAAACUUGUUUACAAAUCACAAACAGUUUGCUUUUGUGUUACUACUGUAAAUUUUCCAGUAUGUAUCAGGUUUUUAUCUUUGUGGUUGCUGAAGCAUAUUCAGUUGUUUAUCGCUUUCGGGAUAUUAAUAUACAACCAUAUUAGAAUGUCUUUGUGACGAGACCAAUCUCGCCACAUUGCAUUGGAGAAGCCUGGUUACUCGCCUGCUGCCUUUGGACUAUGGCCCCCUGUUAAAAGACAUCUUUUUU